AUUUAACUCAUCAGCUCAUUAGCCGAGAAUCCAAGACCUAAAGCCUCCAGAAACAGAGUUGGGAAACAUUGACUUAAGCCUUUCGUCUCUGCCGCACACAGCAGAUGCUGCACUCGUUCGAGUCCUGGGGCUCCAGCUGCCCGAUCCCUCCUCCCGCCCGUUUAUUCCCUCCUCUCUCCAUUACCACAUCCCUCGGCCGUCCUGUCAGCUGCCAGAUGAAGUGAGUGCUGCGGUCGCAUGUGUGGGCAGGGCUGCGGCCGCAUAUUGAGCACAAAUUGGGCGAGAUGCCACAGUGAAGGAGUGGGACAGGAAUCCACACAAAGCAUCCACUCAUCUAUUAUACAGAAGAGGAACGAGUAAAUGCAAUACUCUCCAGGCCGAGUGGAGAGAGAGCGAGAGGAUAGAGUAGAACAUUUGUUGUGCAUGUUUAUGAAGAAGGUUGUAGUCCUUUGGAGCCGUCUGUGGACCAUUGCCAGCGUGUGAGAGCGGUAAUGAGAGCAUGGACCUCGUGGAGCCGUUGGACUGAAGUAUUUCAAAAGCAGCUUCCAUUCACUCGUUCAGAUAAACACUCGGUCCUUCCCGUGUUAUCGACAACACGGACGCCAUCCUGAGCCACUGGCCUCUGUCAGCAUAAUGCUUUUGGAGAGGAACUUGUUAAUGCCGAGCAGCGCUUCAAUUUUCUCUAGCGUUCAUCCACCUGCUCCAGUAAUGAGAAGUGUAGCAAUGUGAUCUGCAACUUGAAACUGUUGCUUGUUGUGUCCAACAAGUCCAAAUGUGACAAUUGGACCAUUGUCUGGGGAAUAAGUGUUAUGGAGUGGUUUGAAAACGGCUUUUGUUAGGAUCUGUUGAGGAAAUUAAACUGUUGAAUGAAGUAGGGGUAUUUCUGAUCUACAUAAAGCACACAGACACACUAAGUGCUGAAUAUUUAGUUUUGCACGUAUCACUGAUGCCAAACGCACAUGCGAGACAGAAGUUCAUAUCAUGGUAUCUGUGACUAGUUGGAUGCUGAUGGACAUCAACUUUUGGAUGAAAUCUGGGACUUUUGGGAUCUGGGA